UUAAUUUGCUCCAAAAAAAUUUGACCAAGGAAAAAAAUAAAAAUUUAUGAGGUCGAAAACAAGGAAGCACUUUGGGUUUCUUUUUCCCAUUUGACAACUCUGUCUCUUUCAAUUUUUUCUUUCCUACAACUCUCGAUCAUCUCAGUUUCGAUCUCUCAAUCACAGUCCCGUUCCUCUUACUUUCAAUCUCUAUCUCUGUCGAUCUCCGUAUCGUGCCCUCUCAGUCUCAGUCUUGUUUUCGAUCUCUUUCUUGAUAUUCCACUCGCAAUCUCGUUCCUCUUAAUCGUCGCCAUCUACAUCGGUAAAUCGAAUGGUGUAAUCGAAUUUGACAUUGAAGGUGAAAUUGUGUUUGGCUUUGGUUAUUUGCAAAGAUUUAAGCUUUCAAUCGAUUACUUUUUUUUUUUUUUCUUUUCUUUUUUGCAGUAAGAGCUCGAUGAGACUUCAGUCAAAACUUAAAAGUUUGAUUUGGCACUUCGAAUAACUAAUAGUUAGUCUUCAAAUCUUCAAGAUUAAUGCUGCUGGCGCUUGUUUUUACUUUUUUACUCGUUGCUGGAGCUGUGGUUGUUUUGUUGUGAUGUGGACAGGGCAUGGGUUUGAGAGAGCUUGUGUCAUUUAAGGAGAGAUGUGAGAAUACGAUGGACUAUGUAAAAAGGCUUAGGCUUUGCAUUAGAUGGUUUCAAGAACUCGAGUUAGAUUACGUGUUUGAGCAAGAGAGGGAGGUUCAUGACGAAGUGAAUCUAACGAGAGAAAAAAACAAUUGAAGCCAGGUCUAGGUAGAAGUUUCCAAGAUUGGUAGUACGAGUGUGUGGAGACCAAAUUUAGAAAUCAAAUAUACUUUGGUCUAUGUCAGAAAAUGAGUUUAUGUUUCUGUAAUGAUUUUCUAUGGUUUUAAUAUCAUAAGGUAUUCCCUCUUUCA